UUGUUGAUUUUAAUUUCAAGUCUGACCUGCCCAGUGAGUUAUUAUUUAACGGCCGCGGUAUUUUGACCGUGCAAAGGUAGCAUAAUCACUAGUUUUUUAAUUGAAAGCUUGAAUGAAAGGUUUGAUGAAAAAAAUACUGUCUCUGUAAAAAUUUAUUAGAAUUUUAUUUUUAAGUUAAAAAGCUUAGAUUUAAAUAGAAGACGAGAAGACCCUAUAGAGUUUUAUAUUUUAAAAGUAAAAAAAUUUUAGGAUUUUAAAAUUUUAUUAUUUGAGAAAUAUUUUGUUGGGGUGAUAAAAAAAUUAAAUUAACUUUUUUUAUAUAUAUAUACAUUAAUUUAUGAUUAAGUGAUCCUAUAUUUUAGAUUAUAAGAUUAAACUACCUUAGGGAUAACAGCGUAAUUUUUUUAAGAGUUCUUAUCGAAAAAAAAGAUUGCGACCUCGAUGUUGGAUUAAAAUGAAUUGUUGGUGAAGAAGCUAAUAAAUUAGGUCUGUUCGACCUUUAAAAUUUUACAUGAUCUGAGUUUAAACCGGUGUGA
rnacentral:rRNA from 1 species